rnacentral:rRNA from 1 species
GUGCCAGCAGCCGCGGAAUUCCAGCUCCAAUAGCGUAUAUUAAAGUUGUUGUGGUUAAAAGCUCGUAGUUGAACCUUGGGCCUGGCUGGCCGGUCCGCCUCACCGCGUGCACUGGUCCGGCCGGGCCUUUCCCUCUGUGGAACCCCAUACCCUUCACUGGGCGUGGCGGGGAAACAGGACAUUUACUUUGAAAAAAUUAGAGUGCUCCAGGCAGGCCUAUGCUCGAAUACAUUAGCAUGGAAUAAUAAAAUAGGACGCGCGGUUCUAUUUUGUUGGUUUAUAGGACCGCCGUAAUGAUUAAUAGGGACAGUCGGGGGCAUCAGUAUUCAACUGUCAGAGGUGAAAUUCUUGGAUCAGUUGAAGACUAACUACUGCGAAAGCAUUUGCCAAGGAUGUUUUCAUUAAUCAGGAACGAAAGUUAGGGGAUCGAAGACGAUCAGAUACCGUCGUAGUCUUAACCAUAAACUAUGCCGACUAGGGGAUCGGACGGUGUUAUUCAUGACCCGUUCGGCACCUUACGAGAAAUCAAAGUGCUUGGGCUCAGCGGGGGAAAAAAGGUCCCAAGGCUGAAACUUAAAGAAAUUGACGGAAGAGCACCACCAGGGGUGGAGCCUGCGGCUUAAUUUGACUCAACACGGGGAAACUCACCAGGUCCAGACACAAUAAGGAUUGACAGAUUGAGAGCUCUUUCUUGAUUUUGUGGGUGGUGUGCAUGCCGUUCUUAGUGGUGGGGUGACUUGUCUGCUAUGCGAUACGAACGAGACCUAACCUGCUAAAUAGCCCGCAUUGCUCCGGCAGUGCGCUGGCUUCUUAGAU